AUUGAACGCUGGCGGCAGGCCUAACACAUGCAAGUCGAGCGGCAGCGGAAGGUAGCUUGCUACUUUGCCGGCGAGCGGCGGACGGGUGAGUAAUGUCUGGGAAACUGCCUGAUGGAGAGGGAUAACUACUGGAAACGGUAGCUAAUACCGCAUAACGUCGCAAGACCAAAGAGGGGACCUUCGGGCCUCUUGCCAUCAGAUGUGCCCAGAUGGGAUUAGCUAGUAGGUGGGGUAACGGCUCACCUAGGCGACGAUCCCUAGCUGGUCUGAGAGGAUGACCAGCCACACUGGAACUGAGACACGGUCCAGACUCCUACGGGAGGCAGCAGUGGGGAAUAUUGCACAAUGGGCGCAAGCCUGAUGCAGCCAUGCCGCGUGUAUGAAGAAGGCCUUCGGGUUGUAAAGUACUUUCAGCGGGGAGGAAGGUGUUGAGGUUAAUAACCUCAGCAAUUGACGUUACCCGCAGAAGAAGCACCGGCUAACUCCGCGCCAGCCGCCGCGGUAACAC
rnacentral:rRNA from 1 species